GACGAACGCUGGCGGCGUGCUUAACACAUGCAAGUCGAGCGGAAAGGCCCUGAUUUUGUGGGGUGCUCGAGUGGGGAACGGGUGAGUAACACGUGAGUAACCUGCCCUUGACUUUGGGAUAACUUCAGGAAACUGGGGCUAAUACCGGAUAGGAGCUCCUGCUGCAUGGGGGGGGUUGGAAAGUUUCGGCGGUUGGGGAUGGACUCGCGGCUUAUCAGCUUGUUGGUGAGGUAGUGACUUACCAGGGCUUUGACGGGUAGCCGGCCUGAGAGGGUGACCGGCCACAUUACGACUGCGGUACGGCCCAGACUCCUACGGGCGGCAGCAGUGGGGAAUAUUGCACAAUGGGCCGAAGCGUGUUGCAGAGGCCUUGCGUGCGUGAUGCUGGGUUUCGGGUUGUAAACAUAUUUGGCCGGUGACGAACAGUGCUUGACGGUAACGAGUCAAGAAGCAACGGCUAACUACGUG
rnacentral:rRNA from 1 species